GACGAACACUGGCGGCGUGCUUAACACAUGCAAGUCGAACGAGACGAUUGAAAGCUUGCUUUUAAAAGUCGAGUGGCAAACGGGUGAGUAACGCGUAGACAACCUGCCUUUGAGAUGGGGACAACAGUUCGAAAGGACUGCUAAUACCGAAUGUUGUAUAUUUUCCACAUGGAAGAUAUAUUAAAGAUGGCCUCUAUUUAUAAGCUAUCGCUCAAAGAUGGGUCUGCGUCUGAUUAGCUAGUUGGUGGGGUAACGGCCUACCAAGGCGACGAUCAGUAGCCGGUCUGAGAGGAUGAACGGCCACAUUGGGACUGAGACACGGCCCAGACUCCUACGGGAGGCAGCAGUGGGGAAUCUUCCACAAUGGACGAAAGUCUGAUGGAGCAACGCCGCGUGAGUGAAGAAGGGUUUCGGCUCGUAAAGCUCUGUUGUCGGGGACGAAUGUGCAGUAUUUGAAUAAAGUACUGCAAUGACGGUACCUGACGAGGAAGCCACGGCUAACUACGCGCCAGCCGCCGCCGUAA
rnacentral:rRNA from 1 species